AAGUAAGAAGCGAAUAAUCGCAUCCAGUUUCGACCUGACUUAAGAUAAAUUUUAUCCUUACUUA
rnacentral:tRNA from 1 species